rnacentral:rRNA from 1 species
AACGAACGCUGGCGGCAUGCCUAACACAUGCAAGUCGAACGAGACCUCCGGGCCUAGUGGCGCACGUGUGCGUAACGCGUGGGAACCUGCCCUUAGGUUCGGAACAACUCCCUGAAAGGGGUGCUAAUACCGGUUAAUGUCUUCGGACCAAAGAUCUAUCGCGUUUGGAUGGGCCCGCGUUGGAUUAGCUGGUUGGUAGGGUAAAAGCCUACCAAGGCGACGAUCCAGAGCUGGUCUGAGAGGAUGAUCAGCCACGCUGGGACUGAGACACGGCCCAGACUGGUACGGAGGGGAGCGGUGGGGAAUAUAGGGGGAGGGGGGAGAGCGUAGUACAGCAGUGCGGCGUGAGAGAUGAAGGCGUUAGGAUUGUGAAGCUCUUUUACCCGGAGUGAUAGUGACAGUACCGGGAGAAUAAGCACCGGCUAACUCCGUG